AAUGCUUUGUUUUCUAGGAGUUGCCUUGGGCAUAGUGCAUCUAAAUAAAAUAGUCACUGAGACAUUUAUAUAGUGAAUUAUUCUAAUCACAAGGAAACUAGAGAAAAUAUUUACAAGUAUCAUAAUAAAUCAGAAUAUUGAAAUGUAUAAAUCCAAAAACUGAGUAACAUAAACAGAAAUAAGUCAACUAAUUUAAAAUGGAAAAAAGAAUCAGUACAGUAUUGUGUUUAUGAACACAACAUUUUUAUUUACUCACCAGUUAAUGAAUAUUUGAGUUAGCUCUACUAUUAACAAUAUUGUAUGAACAUUCAUGUGUAAGUUUUACAGUAGAUAUGUUUUUAUUUUACCUAAGGAUGUAACUGGAAAUCAAAUUACUGAGAUAUAAGACACCAUUUACUGAAGAAAUGUCAAAGGUUUGGAGAAUAAGUGUACCAAUUUACAUUUCUCUGUGGAAAAUAAUUCAAAUCAUCUCCUACAUUCUAACAUUUAUAUUUUCAAUCAAUUUAUAAAACAUUUUCAUCUGUCUCAUCAUUUUCAAAUAAGCACUCAUUUUAGGCUUUAGAACCUCAGAAUUAUAGGGCAGUAUCAGUAUGGGAGGCAAAGUAAUGAUUAGAUUGAACUGUAAACUUAGUAAGGCAAUUCAUGGACAAAGAAAUCUAUUCUUGAUAGAUAAAUAUAAAUAAAAUAAUGUUGCUAUGCACACUUACUAAUAAUGAUACUUGUUUCAAAAGUCCAUAAAAGUUGUAUUCCAGAAAGUAACUUAAUUUUAGGAAGAUGGGGGAAGCAUCUACAAGUAUUAAGAUAGGGUGUAAAAAUGAAAGGAAGCAAACUAUCUCGGCAGUCUGGAGAAGUAACAGUCCAAGAGCAAAGCUGGACAUUUGGUGAGGUAACUGAACACAAAUAACAAGGAGCUAGAAAGAACCAUGGACACACUUUUUUUUUUUUUUUACUUUACAAUGGAGAGAUUUAAAGUAGAAUCAUGGUCCAAAUUCGUAGAGCAUUUGGAAAGCGAUGAUACAGUGUGAAGGAAGCAGGUGGCAAGGUUAAAGCAUGGGUCAACAUGAUGAUUUAACGGCAGUUUUGAAAAAUUACUGGAGGCAGGCAAGACAACAGUCUGCAAGUGAAAAGAUUUUAAAUCAGGCCAGGUGGAAGAUGCUGGCUCUGAGUCUUGGCAGCUCAUGUGUUUGGUUAAAAGGAUGACUGAUAAAAGUCUAAAUAUUAUUAAAAUGCUGAUUGGAAAAUGUUUACAGUACAAUAAAAAGAGAAUUCUUGCGAGGAACAGCCUCCAGUCCUCUGUUGUGUCUGUCUUUUAUAAAGAUUGAUGAGAAAGUUAAGAAAAUCAAUUUAGAUGAUUAAAGAAGCAGUAUCCUUCCAGCCAUCCAGACCAGGUUCAUUGUCGCCAAAUAGCCUCAGUGAUAGAAAUAAGCUGGCAGCGACGAGGAAAUAUCUUUUACAGAACAGAAGGUUUUUCAAAGACCAUUCAGUCAAGCAAAUGGCUACCUCAUUAACCAAACUGGGAACUAUUCCAAACGUUUACAAAAUAAUUGUAUUCAACACCUACGUCCAAAGCUUCUUUCGUGGGCUUUCUCUCCCCUUUCUCUCCUCAUUAAAGCAGCCCACCAUUUUCCUAGGUGGCUGUCUGGCGUACUUUUGUUUUCUGUUCUAGACAAAGCAUGACUGACAGUGAUAAAGAAAAUUAUAUAUUAAUUCUUCCCCACAAACAGCAAAUAGAUGAAAAAGACAUGUUCAGAUGUCCCAUGCCUUCGUAGAGAUUGGGGUAUGAAUUCCAAGCUAUUCAUUUCAGUGAAUUCCCAGCACCCUUUGUUUAGCUGUGUAUGCAAGCUGAACCAGUAUGAUUGCAGAAGACAUAUAAUUACCACAUUCACUGUAAUUCUAAAAAUCACUUUGAUUCCUUUCUGCAUGACUUCAAAUGGCACCUUUGUGCUUUACUCAGUCUUUAGUAUACUCAUUUAAAUAUAAAUGAAGAUGCUAAUGAUGGAUAGCUUGGUAGAUAGAUAGAUAAUCCCCUAUUCCUUAUUUAGAAACAAAACAAACAAAAAGCUAUGGCUUGAUGGUUUAGCAGUGGACCAGCCUAGGAUGUCUAUACCUGAAUUCUCUCUACAUCUAAAUAAAUACAUCCUUUUAUUUCCUUAAAUUCUUAAUGAUAUCCACUGUUAUCUUUUCUGUUUUUUAGGAUGUUUGCAGAUCAGAAAAUCACCCAUGAGCUCUAUUUCAGGGCGAUUCUACCAACUCACUACUUUGGCUUUAAACCUUCUGACCUUUGCUUUAUGAGUGGAUCUUAGUACUCAGCUCACUCAGAAAAUGUUCAUUGCAAUGAGUCGUGGGUCUGGUUCAAGUCCUCUGGCACACCAUCAUCACUGGACCCGCAUCAAAACUCCUGAUAUUUUUCUGUUGCCCUGAGUCAUGGAGAUCCUUCAGUUAUCUACACAGGACCGGUCCCUUCAUGCACUUCAGCAGGAGAUAGAUGAGGUUUUAGGGAACUCUUCUGAUUUAAAAGUGGGGACAAAAGCAUUGGUGUGUUGCUGCAAUUGAGUGAUAAAACAUGUAAAGAACAGUCCAGAACCUGGUGCAAGGCAGCUUGUUGAAUACAAUAUGAAUAUCUAAAGAAAGGGGAGACCAUGUACAUCUGAUACAGAAAAUGAAGGAAAUGGAAGUGUUAUGUUAAUCUGGAAAUUUUUCCAAGAUACAAAGCACAUGAGAGAGCAGUUUCUAAGUAUUAUUUUAAGAAAAGAUGUAGACCUAUUUUCACGCUCAUCUACGAUAGCUCUAAAAGACACACAGCUCAAUUCCAAGAUGCAAGAUGAAACACUCAAGCUAUCAUCAGUUUGCACUGUACAAUUCAAAAUUUUUAUUACCUACACUUUAUUUCCAAAGCAGUGAAAAAGCACUGAGGCAAACAUUGUUCAUUUUACACAAAUUCGAAAUUCCUCCAUGCGUUAGCUUAGUGAUCAAAAUAAAUAUUGAGCAUGUCCUGAGAAUGGACAAUGCAAGCAUAUUAUGCCAAUGAUUCUCAAUGGGUUGCAAAUUAUAUUGGCUGGCUGACUAAAGCAAUCACAUUAGGAUUAUAAUUAACAAAUUGCUGUUUCAGAUCAUUAUUUAAAGAUAAAACACACAAACCAGUGUCGUCGUUUGGCUAUAGAAGUAUUUAUGGCAUGACACUGAUAUAUAAUCCGUGGCCUGGCUAUAUUUGAAAAGUAACUUUCACGUGACAUGUUUAGGUUUAUACUUCUUUCUUAGGGUACAUAUGUCAUCAAAAGCAUCAAAAACUGGAGCCAGGUGUAGUGCCCCAUGCCUGUAAUUUCAACAUUAGGGAAACGGAUACAGGAGGAUCAGAAAAUCAAGGUAAUAUUUUUCUUUUUAAAAGAAAUCAUUGUUCCUUUAAAGCUGCUCAAAUUGGAGUUCCUGUAAUUCUUAUGAGUGCUCUGUUUUGCCAGAGUGCCAUGGUAGAGAGGCACUCAUGCAGCAUUGCAGCAGUGAACAGUUUUUCCUCCAGUGUAUAGCUGUUGUGCUACUGAGAAAGCAAUGUUUUUGAAAAUGACAGCAGUUUGGUGUAUACUAGAAUGUUCUGAGAAAGCCACUGCUCUAAAGUUGUUUUGACAAAAAGCAUUAUUUUCCCAGGGCUGUAUCACAAUCUGAUUAAUAACGAGGAGCUGAGUGAUUUGGAAUCAAAUAAAGUUGACAUGAAUCUCUAGCAACAUAGCAGCACCAUAAUGACUUGUUUCAUUGCAGGUAGCAAUAAAGCCUAUAUGAUAAUACAUAAACUAAUUCCCAGCUUGAUUCCAUCCAAUUUUUGAUAAAGCUAUACAAAUGCCAUGUGUAUUGUCCUUACAUAUUCAGCAGGACAAACAACGAGAAAAUACCUGGGUUUUUUUAAGGGUAUGAUAGACAGAAGAUUAUCUGAACAUUUAAAUAUUCCCAUAAAGAUUUAGAUAAGAAAGGUAAAGCAUAUGCUGGCAAUUUUAAUAUCCUGUGACUGAGACUCAUUUGAAGAUAAUCUUCACAUGAAAAUUUUACCCAGACUGAUCAAUCAAACGAUAUAUAUACAUAAAUUACACGACAAGUGUAUGGAGAAUUAUGUUUGCCACAAAGUGAAGUAUUCCACCUUGAUAAAAAAAUAGUAUUGUGAAUUCAUUACAGAAUAUUUUAUGAAAUCUGAGAGAUAGAGUAGACUUACUUAUGUUAGGAAAUCUGCCAUGCAAUACAUCCAUAUUAUGAAAACCAAUAGUUUAUCUUCCUUAUGAUUCUCUGCAUUUACAUUUCCAUGGUAUUUUACCCUGAUUUGUAGCUGAUUCCUUUGUGAGUAUUUUUGCAGCUUUUGGAUUUAACACUGACCUAUAAUAAUUUUAUAAAAAUUCCCCAUUGAUCGUUAGGAUUCCUCAGUAAUGGAUUAGGGACAUUCUGGUGUGUUCUUCCAGACUGCAGCAAUCUCAAGCAGGAAUUAGGCACAUGUGACCCAGGGGACAGAUUAUAUGAUGAAAACUCAGAGUGGAGUUUCUAACAAUCUUUUAUUUUUAUAGUGAGACUCCAACCUACUAUAUGAGAUUGGGAUAUAGCAAUUUGCCUCUGCCUAAUAGGAGUUUUAUCAGAAUUUAAGAGUGUUGAAAGAUGUUAGAAAAUUAAAUUGUAAACCAGAAUUUUAAGCCUUAAUUGGAAGGUGAGAUACUCAUCUGAAUCAGGUCUAACAUCAUAACUUGUUAAAGCAAAAUGGAAAGAUGGGUUCUGAUAGGACUUCCCAGUCAGCCCAAUGCACACAUCAGGCAGAUACAGAUCUGGUUGUCAACACAGUAAGGUUCUGCAUCAGAUGGAGACUCUGCUUUCUAGGGUGGAGUCUGAAGCAGAGCUAGGAUGCUGGUAAAAUCAAGAGCCAAAUGAUGAUUCAAAUGUGCUAUAGUUUUCACUGUUGAAACUGUAUGGUCUAGAAAUUAAAGCUAGGUAAAAUGUUACUUCAACCUAUCUUUUGGAAACUUCCUUGCAUGAAUCCACUUCUGCCACUUUAUAAAUUAGUUCAGUAAAUUUUGAGGCAAGUCUUUUGAUGCCUUACCAUUUUAUGUGAUUGUUUUCUCUAAUAUUUAUCAGAGCAUUAAAUAUCUUUCAUCACCUCCUUGUCUAAUAACAAUGUGUUCAAAUAAAAUGAUAUAUUUGAAGACCCUGCUGUAAAUUAUUACCCUGUUUUCACAGAAUUCAUUAUGUACUGUUUUCAGUUACAUUCCUUUCUUUGCAAUCAAUGACACAUCAAUUCAUAACAAAUUUAUUUUUUUAAAGUUAUGCUUUUGUCCUCACAAGUAUUUGAAGAAAAUUUCCACAAUUGUAAUUAACUUACUUAUAUGGGCUUCUAUGUUUAAUAUAUUGCAAAAAUAUAUGUUUUUUAAGUAGCAGUUUUCAACUUUACAUCAUCAACAAACUAGUCCUACAUUAAUCCUCAGACAAAAGAAGCAAUGAAUUUCUUCUUACCAUCAUAAUCAUGAAAUAUAUUGUAGCUUUCAUAAUAUAUAGCCCAUAAACAACAGAAAAACUGUUUAAUUCCUUUUCUUCAAAACUGAAAUAAGCCCUUCUAAGAUUUUUAAUUUAUUUGAAUGCCAGAUUAAAAUAUUAAUUAGAAUACUAAUUACAUGAGAUUUUAACUUAGCAGGUCUCUGCCCUUUUCUGUUGUUAUUGCUUUAAUUAAUGUUUCCAUUGACAAAUAUUGGAAAUGACUGUAAAUUAGGAAGUAGUGGAUAUACUGGGGUCGAUUUAUGAUAGAUGCCAUGUCAGAGUAAAUUAGUAUUCACAAGAACAAUUUCUCUGCAGUCCUUUGCUACACAUGAAACAAGUCUUCCUUGUGUUUGGGGGUGCUCUGUUGAAAACUAAAACUAUUCCCUAAAUCUUCGGACAGUGUUAGUAGUUCCCAAGAGUUAAUCACAGGCAUACUCUCAAAAGUGGUGAGUACCAACAUUUGUCAUGUUUUCUGCAUUCUGAUUUUCCUUCUCGUGUAUUUUUCUCUCAGUGAGGAACAGAUCCUCCUAGGCCUUUAAAAAUGAUUUAAUUCUAAAUGCUAAAAUCUCAGCAGUCAUGAGCUGUUAUUCAACACAAACCAUAGCAAACCAUAGCAUAGGAGUCAAGGCUAGAAGACAGCAGUGAGAAAUUCGAAUUCCAAAGAGAGAUGCCCUGGUGAAGAAGAUACCAUAAAAUGAGAACCAUUGUAAAUGACAAAUUGGUAGCAUCUCCUUUAGAUACCCAUUUCUCUCUUUCAGGGAUAGGUUGUUCCCUAGAGAAACAAACACAUUUUUUGGCAAGCUAAGCAGUAAGAACGCUGCAAUUUUACAGGAGAUAAUAAAUCUUGACUUAUGUUGUUGUUAUCCAGAUUUAACAACCCAGACAGUAGUGGGGAUUUGCCUUUGUUGCCUUGGAACCUUACUUAAAUGACAACUUAUAAAGACAUUCAGGACAUAUAUAUUCCAAGAGGUCAUAAAUCCUACCUGAGAACAACGCCCUAACCCAUGGCGAUGUGAAAGAAGGUUGAAGGCAUAAUGAAGGAGGGCAUUAUUGAAGUGACAGCCUUAAGCCAAGAGAGUAUGUGGUGUGUUGCCUAAGUGGCAAGUGGGUCCUCAGGUAGGUUCAGAAAUAUAACUUAUCCAAAGAUCACAAAGAGGAAAGUGUUGGCAGAACACUGUGAAUAGUUUUCACGGUUAUUCCAAGUUUUCAACAACGGAAAUAUACAUCUCCAGACGAAAGUGAGAAUGGGGAAAGGGAUGAUUUAGAAAACCAAAAAGGAAAAAUAAAGGUAGAAGAGAGAGCUUCUAAGAUUUCUGACAGUGAUUUCUGCCCUAUGUGUCUGUGUUAGCUCUAUCUAAACGUAGGUGCACCGACUGAUUCACUUCGAAUACCCAUGAAAUGGCAGUCAAGGGUCACCAGCCCUAAAAUUAUGUUACAAAAUGACUACGACUUCACUUUCUCUUAGCCAUGUUAAACUUCUCUUUGGGAAGGUCCAUAUUUGAGGAAAUAACACAUUUAAUGAGGAUCCAGUAAAGAAUUAAAGUUUGUGACCAAUUGUGAGCUUAGAAAUAGAUCCGCCCUGAAAUAGAGAAGGGAAUAGCAGUCUACAAGUGAUAUGAUGAGAUGGAUGGGGGAAAUGGGGCCUUUAAUUAGGAACAGGGAACAGAGACAGAUACAGAAGGAGUGAGGGGAGUAAAAUAACUGUAACAGUGUCUGAAAAGGUCAUAAAGAAUCACACUAUGCCUAAAAUACCUAUAAUAUAUGUAAAUUGGUGUAUAAAUAUAUGUACAUAGUUUAAAUGAAAUUUUCCCAUUUGACCUAACAAUGCUCCCUCUAAGAGCCAAAUACCACCUACCAAUAAUCACAGUACCAGUCAUCAGAAGCCCUCUUUUGACUUGAUCAGGGUUAGCGAAGUUACUCCCAAAACAUUGUACGGUAUGGAUGCUUCCCUUGGUUGCCCCAAGAAGUGGGAGAUAAAUUCAUAUUACUGAAGACACCAUGAACUUCAGACACAGUCCAAAAGCCACUGAACUGUAACUGUUCUGAAUGCCAGACCCUUGAGAAUUAGAUUUCAUGGUACCAGAAGUCACUUUACAAGCUCUCCAAUGAGGGAAGCAACCAAUAGUCCUACCCAGCUCUGAUAACCAUGAACCAUAACCAUCAAUAUGACAGGAUAACACUAAAGAUGCAACAGUGGUGUUCAUACCUUGGUAGUAACCAACUGCUCUCAAAUUGGACCUAAGACUCAUUCAACAAAAGGGAUAUUAUGGCUGGAUGGAAACCUAGCCAACUACAUGAGGCUAUUGCAGUUAUGGAUCUUGAAGGAGAACAUGUAACUACCAUUUUACUAAACUAAACAUAAUCUUUAACUACAUCUUAAAUAUUUAUCUUUAUACCAAAAUAUAAGUGUAGUUCUCACCCCUUAUCAAGAAAACUACUCUUAGCUAGGCGGUGGUGGCACAAACCUUUAGUCCCAGCACUCAGGAGGCAGAGGCAGGCGGAUCUCUGUGAGUUCAAGGCCAGCCUGGUCUACAAGAGCUACAAGACAGCCUCCAAAGCCACAGAGAAACCCUAUCUCAAAAAAACAAACAAAAAAAGGAAAGAAAACUUCUCUUUGCAAUAUAUGGAGAUUAUCACCCAAAACCACAACUGAUCAAAAUGCAGAGUUGUGGGGCCCAGUCCCACAACACAAGUCCUGAACCUAAGACUAGGGAACCACUGCAAAACAGAGACAGAAAGAUUAUAAGAACCAGAGGAAUGAAUAGCUGCACCCAUGAAGUCUCACCAAUAUGGCUUAAUAAGGAUGACACCAAUAGACACGUUAACAUUGAAGGGAGUCCAUAGGGUCCCCACCUUAGAAUGAACUACCAGCAACUCAGAAAUGCUGAAAACAGGAGAAAGUUUCUUCCCCAGGGAAGAAGACACCAAUUGUUUGCCCAAUACCAAAUGGUCAGGCUUGAAAAUAUGUACAUAAAAAUCUUAUAUGACUGAGUUGUUGUAUUCAGAUAUUUAGAGAGGUGUGUGUGUAUAAAACAACAAUUAAAGGAAGAGACCGUGAAUUUUAGAAAGCGCCUAGAAGAGGUAUGUGGCAGUGUUUGGAAGGAGGAAAAUGUUACAAUUAUACUAUCAUUGCAAAAAAGUUUUUUAAAAAACUAAACAGAGAAAAGGAAAUAGAUACUCCCCACGAAAGCCUCAGAAAACUGAGAUCCUGGAAUAUUUUUUAAUUUGGAUUCACAUUUCUGACCAUCUGAACCUGUGUGACAAAUACUAUUUAUACCAUUAAGCUAUUAAAUAUUGUAGUUAUGCAUUACAUGGCCAUGGAUUACUAACACAAAUGGUAUGGAAUAGUCAUCCAGGAAAUAAGCUAUAAUUGGAAUCACAUACAAUGGUGAGAAUGUUUAAAUAAAACUCAGGGAAGAAGUGUUUAUUGCCACAUACAUAGAGGUGAUUUUAAGUUUGGGGAUUUUGCAGACAAGCAUGAUAAAACGAAAGUAAAGAAGUUGAAACAUUAGAAAGGAAUGGGCAUGGUCCUUAAUUGUGGGGUUUACCUUGAGCAAGGAGAUUGUUGAGACUGUGAGAAGAGAAAGUAAGAGAAAAGGUUAAUAGAUAAUACUUACUGGAGGGGAGAUGGACUUGGAUUAAAGAAAACUGGAAAUAGACUGUGGUGGUGGCAAACAGAAAGCUUGAGAAUGAGUUUAUUGGAGGGCUGCGUUGUUGACAACUUCUACAAUACAACCGUGGAAACUGGUGUAUAAGUAAAUGAUGGAGAAUGGUGGCCCCACAAAAAUAUCUCAGUGUGCAUACCCCAGGGUGUAUGGUUGUUAAAAUAAUGCAUAACAAAUUAUGAAAUAUAGAAGUGUGAGUUAAGAAUAUAAAUCUUGAAGAACAUUUAGAAAUAAGACAUUUGAUGGUAGAUAACUGUUAGAAUAGCAGAUAGGAGACAAUAUCAUUAAUAGCACAAGAAUAAAAAUUGGUUUUUCAGGAAAAUGGAUGAUUUUCACUGCCUAAAAAGUGUCAUAAAGAAUUUUUCUGUGUAAAAUAAAAAUUACUCCAAAAUGUUACUACCGAACCAUUUUUAACAAAAAUAUUGAUUAGUUUACAGUAUGCCCAAUUUUGUCCAGGAAAUCUUUUUAAUGCCUAAAUUAUACAUAAUUAUCCUAAUUAGUAUCCUAUACUCCCUCCC
rnacentral:lncRNA from 1 species